rnacentral:rRNA from 1 species
CAGUCGCCGCGGUAAGACAAAGGAUGCAAGCGUUAUCCGAAAUGAUUGGGCGUAAAGCGUCUGUAGGUGGCUUUUCAAGUCCGCUGUCAAAUCCCCGGGCUCAACCCUGGACAGGCAGUGGAAACUACCAAGAUGGAGUACGGUAGGGGCAGAGGGAAUUUCCGGUGGAGCGGUGAAAUGCGUUGAGAUCGGAGAGAACACCAACGGCGAAAGCACUUUGCUGGGCCGACACUGACACUGAGAGACGAAAGCUAGGGGAGCAAAUGGGAUUAGAUACCCGCGUAGUCCCUGUCUCUUAUAC